GUGGUAAUUCUAGAGCUAAUACAUGCUAAAAACCUCGACUUCGGGAGGGGUGUAUUUAUUAGAUUAAAAACCAAUGCCCUUCGGGGCUCUUUGGUGAUUCAUAAUAACUAAACGAAUCGCAUGGCCUUGCGCCGGCGAUGGUUCAUUCAAAUUUCUGCCCUAUCAACUUUCGAUUGUAGAGUAGUGGUCUACAAUGGUUUCAACGGGUAACGGGGAAUUAGGGUUCUAUUCCGGAGAGGGAGCCUGAGAAACGGCUACCACAUCCAAGGAAGGCAGCAGGCGCGCAAAUUACCCAAUCCCGACACGGGGAGGUAGUGACAAUAAAUACUGAUACAGGGUUCUUUUGGAUCUUGUAAUUGGAAUGAGUACAAUGUAAAUACCUUAACGAGGAACAAUUGGAGGGCAAGUCUGGUGCCAGCAGCCGCGGUAAUUCCAGCUCCAAUAGCGUAUAUUAAAGUUGUUGCAGUUAAAAAGCUCGUAGUUGAACCUUGGAUCUGGCUGAUCUGUCCUCCUAAUCGAGCGCACGGAUUCGGCUGGAUCUUUCCUUCUGGGGAACCCUAUGCCCUUUACUGGGCGUAGUGGGGAACCAGGACUUUUACUUUGAAAAAAUUAGAGUGUUCAAAGCAGGCCUUUGCUCGAAUACAUUAGCAUGGAAUAAUAGAAUAGGACGUUGG
rnacentral:rRNA from 2 species